GAUUAAAAACAGGUAACAUAAUUGAUCUAGAUAUUAUUUGAUUGAUCAAUAGAUUGGCACGCUUCACAAGACAUUAUAUCCAAUAUUGUUCCAUUAGUCGGUAAUCAUGCCACCUAAAAAAGGGGUAAAAACAUCAUCAUUAUGAUUAAUGAAUAAUUAGUACAAGCAACUGACUAAGGCUAAUUGCAUAGCCAUGUAGAAUCUGUAAGCCAAUUGCCAAUUCUAUGGCCAAUUUAGCAAUCUUAAUGAGAUUGAACCCCACGAUGGUUAAUCAUUGUUUAACUCCUUUAAGCAAUAAAGAGAUGCACAUGGACAGAGUCAUAGUGCUUUCAUACAGCCUAUACCUUUGCCAUCAUUCUCAAUGUUGUUGCCUUUGUCAACUUCAAGAGGAUUCAAUGGCAUUUCUUGACAUGGGAGAUUUCUUCCAUAUUCUUAGCAUAAUAAUGCUUAUUGCAUUAUUUCAUCAAUGGCUAAGCUUUUAGGUUUUGAGGAAUUUAAGAAGAGUCUAAGACACGGUUUGGUAAAUCAAGUAUAACUUUUAAUCUGACUGUUCGUGUUGCAAUUUUGAUAGAAGAUUUUGAAAGCCUUGUUUCUUGUUGGGUUAAAAUCUCAUGAUGAAAGAAGAUCAAAAAGGCCUUCAAAUAAGGCUCAAAAGUCAUUGUGCAUGAUUGUCUUUAUUUACCUUGUUGUAUUUGGAUUCAUUUCCUAUUUAGAUUAGGACUUUUAAUUUAAUUAGUACUUUACUAUUUAGAAAUAAAUUUUGAUGCUAGAUGAAUUCUAUUAGGUAAAUCAAGCAUAAAUUUUAAUCGAACCGUUGGAUCGAGCUAUAAUUUUGAUAAAAAAAAUUUGAAGGCCUUGUUCCUUAUUAGGUUAAAAUCUCAUGAUGAAAGGAGAUCGAAAAAGCCUUCAAAUACGGCUCAGAAGUUACUGUGCAUGAUUGUCUUUAUUUACCUUAUUGUAUUUGGAUUAUUUUUUCUAUUUAAAUUAGGACUUUUGAUUUAAUUAGUAAUUUACUAUUUAGAAAUCCUACUGCUAGAUGGAUUCUAUUGGUUAGAAAAGUUUUAAUUAGAAAUCAUUUCCUAUAAAGAAUUUUAGAACUAAUAUAAAUAAGGAUAUAUUGUUUAUUUUGAGAUUGAAGACUAUUAUUCAGAUUUUAUAAAACACCAUUGAGUUUUCUCUAAAUUUCUCGACAGUUUACAAUUGUAACCUUAAGGCUUGAGAACCCUAACUUUUAUCCACGUUAUACGCUGUAUCAAUUCUACACAUUCAACCCAACCUCACGCAUAGCCCUUUCGAGGGAUUAAUGAUGCAGUCAAAUGGUCAUAAUUAUUAUGGCCAAACUUUAGUCAUCCACCAAAGGCUCCUGAAGGAUCGUCUUUUUAUCAGCAAAUAAACCUAUCUAUUGUUGAUUUAAGAGUCAUCUAGUUAGAAAUGGAGAACACAACAAACACGACUUACUAUAAUAACAUUGUGAUAAUCAAUAGAACCAUGCAAGCCAUGGUCGACCAGCUCAAUUAGAUUAAGAAUCAAUCUCCCAUGCAGACACGUGGGGGGCAAGCACAAGGGCACCUUCCACUAGAAAGGUUUCAAUGGGAAGAAAUGGGGACUCCCAACCAUAUCCCGGGUACCGUAUGCUUAAUGCUUACACAUCAAACACAACCAGAAACCCAGCAACUAUAGAGUACAAUCACACGCGAGGUACCACCUACCCCGCAAAUAUAUAGGCAGUCUUAGACCAAUUAUAUAACCAAACCACCUUAUUUACAACCAACUCAACCUAUAAUUAGGUAGUUCAGUGCCCACGGGUUUUUUAGCAAGACAAUCUCAAUCUUCCUAUACCUCGGGGGGAGGGGCUUGUUGUCUACUAGAAAGUAAACAUACUUAGUUGGCUACUUCAACAAGGUCACAAUUGCUCAUUCAAUGGUUAACUCAAACUCUGAUGAGGAGUUUAAAGAAGUUCAACAACAACUAAUAUCAGUCACAAAACUUAGAGAGGAAAAAACAUUUGAGAUUGUUGCAUUAAAAAAGUCCAAAUAGGCUAACAAGCCUAUUCAUGAAGAAACAAGAGACCAAAGUGGCUAGUGAAAAUAAAGAAUAAUUAGAUCCUUUCUCUAAGGUAACAACAAUGGUUGCUCCAAAAUCAAGAGUACUUCUUGGUAAAGGAGAAAUACAAUAUACUACGUUUGAUCGACCACAACAAAAAUUAGAGUUGGUCACUGAUGUUGCUACUGGUAAGUGUAUAUCAAUCAUGGUAAAGCAAAAGUAUUGACACAAGAAAAUCAUGAUAAACCUUUUUGUGAAGCAUAUAGGUGUCCCAGUUGUCAUAAAAUACUACCUAAGGAAGAAGACUUUGAGGACAAAGCUAAAUAGAGAUUCGCAAGGAACAAGAGUCCAAGACCUUUAGGCCUAAAAAAGCAUAUUGACAAAGAAUGGUAUAAGCAUCAACCACGACAGAAGUCAUCAAAACUCAAUGAUGAGGAUGACAGGUUAACAAGUAAUUGCCAACAUCUCCUAGACCUGGAAAGAAGGUGGUGAUAAGGUCAGCUAACCAAGACCUAGCUCAAAAGGAUGCAGUGUCUAAACACACUAGUGAAAAAGAAUGAUGAUAAACCAUACACCUUACUAGGAAAAUAGGUUUUAGGAUAAGAAGAGACCAAUCCUUUAGGUAAUAAUCAACAACAACAAACACAUGUUAGAAUACUAACACGUGAAGUUGAUGAUCAACCAUAAACACAAUCAUCACAAGACAACAUUAAACCUAAUCCAACAUAAAAUAGGCUAACCACAUUGUGCGAUCAAUUUAUCAAUUGAUUUGAUCAUAAAAGGCAAGUUAAUAUUCCCUCAUUUAUCCUAAAUAAAGAAAUAUGGAGGCAUUAUUUAUACCAAAAAUAAACAAUCACAUGUCAUUUGAUUAAGAAUAUGUAGCAUAAUUAAUCUAGAAAUUAUUUGAUUGAUCAACAAGUUAUAACCCAACAUUAAACCAGAAUACGUAACAUGUGGGUUUUCAUCUGGCCAGGCAUAUAAUCAAUUUAAUUCAAGCCACAUAUUAGAAAAAUUUAGGUGAGGUGAGAUCUGCUAUAAAUUAUGUACUACCAAUCCAAUUCAAAACAUAUUUCUAUCACGGUAAAGCAAAUGUCAAAGCAUUAGAGGUUGGAGAACUUUUUCGCUAAGAUGUUCCACUAAAACAACGGAACGAGAUGUGAAGUUAGCAACUGAAAUUAGCAAGCCUCCCCAUAUUUUAUAACAAAAUCCAAUGACCACUAAACUAAUAUGUUCCAACUUCAAAUACUAUGAAGUUGUUCAGAAUAAUUGUUUUGAAAUUUGUGUUUCUAGACUUGGAUCAUAAUAAUAAACCAUAUAAUACUAAUUCCAGCAAAUCAAAAUUAGUCAAGAUAGACCAUUGAAUUAAUGAACUGGAUAUAAUGCAUUACUCUCGCAUCAAAGCAUUGAAAUGAAGAAGUGACAUCAUGCUUAGACCAUGAAACCAUAUCUUCUUUAUUGAGAAAUUUUCAUAUAUUUCUUCCCGACAUCCACCACCGUUUUUUCUCUUUCAACUUUAAAUGCUUAUUUUAAAUGUCCUGGGAAACAAAGUAAGCUGGUUGCAUUUAUCCACAAAUAAAGAUGAUAGAAUACAGCAGUUGAUAUAGAAUUAGAAAAGGUGAAGUUCCAGAAGUCAAAAGCAUAAGAAAAGCUGCAUUUUAAGCUUACCAAAUAUGUCAACGCCAAGGCGUGCAUAUAGUGGACUAAAGAAACCAUCAACAAAUUGCAUAAGCCACCAUGUAAUAAAGAAUGUCACAGCUAUGGGGAAAAGUACUACACUGCAAUUUCACAAUGCAUCACAUUCUUAGGCUGGAAAGUCAGAAAUAUUUUUGGAAUGAAUAAGGCAUAGCCAUGCAUAUUACCAUCCAGUAAUGAACUUCUUGGAGACCCAGCUUUGUAGGACAAAACAGCAGGCCUGGAAAAUUGGAGGAAUGAAAUUGCAAUGUUAUAGAUAAAAACUGAACAUUUAUUUACUUAAAUAAACCUCAGCAAUGAAGCUUGGAGAUUUCCAUGGAUUUAAAUGUGUGAACAAGUUUAAACAUCUUGUGAAUAUGUGUAUGUGCAGGGAAUUGUGUUGUUUCAUAGAUUAAAUCCCUUUGGAUGUGUAGAUGAAUUUCAAAUCGCAUCCGAGAGGUUCGGAACUUGGAGUAUUUCUACAAGGAGGCACUAUUGCCAUGAAAUGAUAUAGUUUCUGCCACAGUCUGUUCAGUUGACACAUCAAAUCAGCACUCUAGGUGGCCAGUGCAAGCAAACAGACAUCUCUCUAGCAACACCACUUCACUACCCAAAUGCCCGAAAGAAGAAAAAGUACUGGACCAUGAGCAAGAUUAGAAAAAUUAUUGGAUCCUUACAGCACAGUCACAUGUGUGUAAGUUGCUGCAAUUUUAUCAAUGUCGGGGGAGCGAGAAAUUGACAAACAGAAGCAGUCAAGCACUGUAUUUUCUGCAGCGCAGUACAAAGGCAUUGCUGCUUAUGAUCAUCUGCAGCGGUUACUGGAAGUGAUAUUGGGUUGGUCGGUAAAGUCUCUAAAGCAAGAAAAUAUUCAAUAUUGAGGAUGGUGUUUGGUCCCACAAGUGUGAUAAAAGUAAAUUCCCCAAGGCAUUCCAAACUUUCUCCUUACAAAACUCAUCUAAGGUUGGGCAUUAGCAGUUGACAUCUGUAGCAACCAGAAUGAUGAUAACCAGAUUGUUUAACAAUGCCAUGGUUGUUGCAAGAGAUGAUUCUGCAACAUUACAUUCUCUAGGUUUUUUUUUUCAUUGAAUUAGAAAAGGCCGCCAAAUACAGUAUUAGCUAUCAUAGAUAGAACAAAAGGAUCAAUUUUCAAUUAUAAACAAAUAUAUAGGUAAUCAAAUUUAUAGAUACAAGUAAGAAUUAGUGAGUGAAGCCGAAAAUCAGAAAAGAAAGAAAGAAGUGGCAGGCAGGGAGUGUAAAAAGAAAAAGAGUGGAGAAUGAAGCAAAACCUCGCGAGUGGAGGAAUUAGAUGAGGACUUAGAAUGAGGAGGCGAUUUGGGUGGAUCUUCGCCGCCAUUGUCGUCCGGAUGGCUCAGUGGAAUCGACGUUGACUCCUUCUCUUCCGCCAUUUGAUGUUGAUUUAAUUUUUUCGCAACGAAUUAGGACUAGAAUCUGAAAUUUUGAGGAAUGAAUUUUGAUGAUAAAAAUAAUAAUUACAACAAGGACAUCAUGUUAUUAUUAUUAUCAUUUUGGUGUGCAUUCCAUGGUCGGUUAAUAAAUUUAAAAAAAAUAAAAAAUGUUUUGAGUGUUUUGAGUGUCGCUGAAGCUAAAUCUAAUAUAAUUAAGUCUAGCAACUGCAAUUGAGAGUCUAGCUCAGUCGUAUUCGUAAACAGGUGAGGCUUUUCUUGUCUUCAAUUCCGAGUUCGACCUAUCUUUUAUGUGUGUUUUGUUCCGUGGUGUUCUAUUUAUUUAUUAGACUUUCAGGAUGUUCAAUAGACCCGGUGAAUAGUCAUGAUACGCACAAGCUGACCCGGACAUCCCAAGUUAUAAAAAAAAAAAAAAAAAGUCUAGCAGCUAUGCCUUAAUCCAAUACACUUCAACGACUUUUGUAAUACAAAAUGGAAAAGAGAUCGCCGCUGGACUACUCUUAAUAUUUAUAAUAUGUUUAUUAUGCAAACACUUUAUAUUUAUAGUCGGGUUGUUUUUAUUUAUUUUAUAAAAAGAUAUUAAAAUUAUAUUUGAAAUAUUCUAAAUAAUUUUUUGUAUAUAUAAAAAAAUAUUUAAACCAACCUUGAAGUAUACUAAACAUAAAUAUUAAAUAAUUUUUUUAUAUAAAUCUUUUAUAUUUUUUAUAUAGAAAAAAUUAAACUAUUCUUAGAUUAUCUUAAACAGAAAUCCUAAAUAAUUUUUUUUUUAUUUUUUAUAUAAAAAAAUUUAAAUUACCCUAAAAGUAUCAUAAAUACUAAUUAAUUUUUUUAUAAUUUUUUAUUUGUUUGUAAAAAACAUUAAAAAUAUCUUUGAAGUAUCCUAAAUAAAUUUUUCAUAAAUUAUUUCUAACUUUUUAAUUUGUAAGAUUUGUUCCUCAUUAUUUUAAUAAAUUUGAAAAAAAUAAAACAUUAAUAAGUUAUUUUCCAGCUCAUUUUCCAUGACAUAACCAAACACUGGAAAGUGUUUUCCAACUUAUUUUUCAUUACACUACCAAACAUUGAAAAAUAAUUCACUUUCCCGGAAUUUAUUUUCCUGAAAUUCACUUUCCAAAAGAAAACUACUUUCUAGCAAAAAAAGGGGCCUUAAACUACUCUUAAAAUAUCCUAAAUAAUUUUUUUAUAUAUUUUUUAUUUUUAUAAAAAAAUUAAACUACCCUUGAAGUAUCCUAAACAUAAAUUCUAAUUGAUUUUUUUUAUAAAUUAUUUUUAUUUUAAAAAGAAUGGGUCUAACAACAAGCCAUAUCCAAGAGGUUUGGAUCUGGUGGUCAUGCCGUGACCCAACACGUUGUAGCAACUUUUAGAAUAAAAAAUGCAAAAUAAUUUUUUUUUUAUGAAUCCUAAAUUGAAAUCCUAAUUAAUUUUUUAAAAUUUUAUUUUUUUUAUAAAAAAACAUUUAAAUUACCCUUGAAGAUCAUAAACAGAAAUGCUAAAUUUUUUUUAUUUUUAAUAAAAAAAAACAUUUAAACUACCCUUGAAGUAUCAUAAACGAAAAUGCUAAUUAUUUUUUUAUAAUUUUUUUAUUUUUAUUAAAAAAAAUUUGAAUUACCCUUGAAGUAUCUUAUAUAAAUUUUUUUCUACUUGUUAAAAAAAACAUUUGAACUACCCUUAAAGUAUCUUAUAUAAAAACAAUUUUUUAUUUCUUAUAAAAAAAAUAUUUAAAUUACUGUUGAAGUAUUCUAAACAUAAACGUUAAUUAAUUGUUUUUAUAAUUGUAUUUUAUUUUUUAUAAAAUAAAACUUUUAAAUUACCUUGAAGUAUCCUAAAUAAUGUUUUUUAUAAAUUUUUUCUAUUUUUAUAAAAAUAUAUUAAACUACUCUUAAAGUAUUCUAAACAAAAAUGCUGAUUAAUUUUUUUAUAAAUUAUUUUUAAAAAAAAAAAAUUGAUUUAGCGGCCAUGUCAGACACAAUAGCCUUUGGUUUAGCAUUGCAUCCAUACCCAAUAGCUUUGGAUUUGGCGGCCGGGCUAGACCCAAGGGUAACCAUACCAAAUCCAAGAGUUUUAUGUCUUGCAGCUAUGCCUUAACCCAACAAGCUGCAAUAGCUUUUGGAAUAAAAAAUGGAAAAGACAACGCCCCCUGCUCAUCUAAACAUCUACAGUGUGAUACAUAAUGCAAACACUCUAUGUAUACAGUAUAGUCCAUGGUGUUUUUAGAAUAAAAAAUAGAAAAUAUAAAAUCUAUAGUGUCGUCCACAAUGCAAACACUCUAUGUAUUCAGUGUGGUCCACGAUGUAAUGAGUCUAUGCACACAGUACCUACACAAUAUUUUUCUCACGCGUUUUAAAGUAUAGUAUAACGUGACCCGCAUGUUGUAUCGCAGUUUAUAUAUUUUUAUUUUCUAAAAACAAUUUAUAUACACAAGUUUUUUCAAUAUAUUUUUAUAGUUUAACACAUAUUUUUUCAACACAUUUCUAUAAUUUAAAAAAAUUAAAUUCAAAUAAAAAUUUUUAUUUAUAUAAUUAAAUAAAUUGAUAGUUAUAUGUGUGAAUAAAUAAAUAAAUAAAAAGUCAUUAAUAAUAACUAAAAAUAAAAUUCAAAAUUCAAAAGACAUGUAUAGAUCAAAAUAUUUAAUCUCGAAAAUGAAAUAUUAACCAUAUUGUGUUUACUAAAUUUGUUUAUUAAAAUAAUUUUUUUAUUUAAACAAACAAUAAUAGAAAUAAAGAGACAAAUCAAAUUAAUCAAAUAAAAUAAAAGAGGAAAAAACAUUAUGCAAAGCUUCAUAUAUUAUAAAUAUUAUCUAAAAAUAAAAAAAUUUAAUUUUCAAAAAUAAAGUGCAUCCAUACAAAAGAUAAAAAAAAAAAUUAUAGAUGUAUAAGAAAAAAUCUUUAAAUUUAAAUAUAUAACUAAAAAAUAAUUGUCAUUUAAAAGACACUCCAAAUAAAAUAAAAGAGAGUAUGAGUUUCGAUUUAAAUAUAAAUUAAAAAACUUUAGAGAAAAAACCAUAAAAAAACCAUUAAUUUUUAAAAAUUAGGUCCUAAGUUGUUUUACCCAAAAACCCGUUUUUUUAUCCAAAACACAGUAAAAACCGUGAUUAACCUAUCUAUGGCUUUAAGAAACCCAAAAAAUCGAAAUCAACCCGAAUCCAAAAAUUAAUCCGAGUUUACAUUUGUUUUUUCAUGAACUUUAAAGGUAAAAAAACAACUAAUAUGAACUCUCAUCAUCAAAUAAAACCAUUUGACACAAAUAUCGUCUGUUUUGGUGGUAUAAAUCGGUGUCAACGAUACUUUUCUCUCUCCUCUCUCGACCAGGGAUUAAAAAAUAACAAAAAUAAAUUUUUGUUUCAAAAUUAAAUUGGAAAAAUAUUGAGGUGCUGAAAAUGUAUAGUUUGCGUGAUUUUUAAAGUUCAAGAACUAAAGUGCAUCUUUUACGAAACUUAUAGCAUGCCUCUCAUGUUUGAUGUCUUUUUCAUUUUGAUCCCUCUGUUUUCAAUCCUACAUUUUCAUAAGAAAUUAAAAUCAAUUUUUCUUCGAUUAGGACUAAAUCGCCGAAAAAAAGGUAUGACAACUAAAUUGAAAAAACAUAAAAUUUUAGACAGCUCAUUCACAACAAUGUGUAAGAAAAUGAACAAUGAAACCUUGUAUAGCAAAAAACUCAUGCAAUACUGUAUUAUUAUUAUUAUAGUUCAGUCGUUGUCUCCUGUGACAGACUUGGUAAGUAAGCAAUGAGAAACUUUAAUUAGCUACUUGGUUUAUAAUAUUAUUUUAUUUGAUUCUCUCUAGGCCUAGCCCAGCCAUUUUGGGUAAAAAUUUUAGGGUUUUAGAAAUGCGGUAAAAGUUGUAUUUAAAAAAAUCAUAUGAAAAUACAUUAAAACUAAUAUUUUUUUUAUUUUUUAAAAUUAAUUUUUGACAUCAGCAUAUCAAAAUGAUCAAAUAGCGCUAAAAAAAAUUAUUUGAAUCUAGAAAAAAAUUCAAAACAUUUCAAAAACAUGGCUGGACAGCAAUGCGAAAUGAAACCUUAAUCUUAUCUGUCUAUCAAAAUUUAAAUCUACACCCUAAUCUAUUUCAAUAACACCCAAUCACAUAGAACUUUUACAUGUUGGUUUCAAUUUUAAAAAGAAAAGAAACCAACAUCUUGGAUUUGUUAAAAUACUCCAAGGGCUAUCGAUUGGAGUAUUUGCCUAGAAACAAUAAUAAUUGAAUGUUUUCAUUUUUACAAGUUUAACAAAUUAGUUAUCCUUUGAUAUUGUGUGUUUAGUAAUUUAAUGUAGGGUGAUUUUUAAAAAUAUUUUUUAAUUUAAAAUAUAUUAAAAUAAUAUUUUUUUAUAAUUAUUUUUGACAUUAUUAAAUCAAAAAAUAUUUUAAAAUGUAGGGUAAUUUGAUUCUUUUCAUGUGAAAAAAUAUUUUUAAAAAUAAAAACCACUACAAUACUAGGAAAAUAAGCAAAAGAAAGCAACCUCAUCGUGCUUAUGCUGGAACUUCCACCUUUCUUUGUGUAUUUUCAAUAGCAAUUCUUUUAUUUAUUUGUUAAUUAAUGUAUUGUUACUUUAAAUUGAUAAAAAAAAAAAAAGAAGAAGCAAGGUACCAUAUUUUUUACUUUUGGUUUUCUAAGAUCUAUAUCUUUGUUUUUUCUACUUUUGUUAAAAUUUGUGUCAUCUAAAACAUAUACAGGGAAAAUUGUUCUAUACACAUAGUUUAAUAAAUACUUAUAUAGUUUCCGAUGCUCCGCUGUGGGUUAGACUAUUUUUUUCUAAAUUUAAAAAAAAAUAUUGAGUAUAAAGAUUUUUUUGACAAUAUCAUUAAAUCCAAUCAAGUAGUUCGAUUUUGAAACUUACCAACCCGACUCCUUGCCUACUCGACUUUCAAAUUAAAACAUGUGAGAGUUGAUCCAAAGUAAAUUAUUCAAUUUAAUGGUUGUCAUACCCAAGUAGCUUGGGUCAGGCCAAGUCGCUUGGGUCUGACAUUGUUACCAGACGCAAGUUACUUUUUUGUCUUUUCUUAGGUAAAAACGUUAUUUUACUAUACAUAGAAAUUGGAAAAACAUGAAAUACCCUUGUCCAGUAGCCUAUCAUUUUUUGAUCUUAGGAGCAAAGAAGUAUUUUUACUAUUACAAAUAUUGUGAAAAGCCAAGAAAGCCCCUGAUCAACAGUUCUAAGUUUUGUCGACUCUAAAGGUAAAAGAGCAUUUUAAUCGUGUUAAAAAUUAGAAAAGAUGUAUACACCCCUAAACAAUCUUCUAAUGACCACUAAGCCAGAUGAAAAGACCCAAAUACUCCUAAAUCGAACGCUUAAAUUUAAGUUACUAAAAGGUAAAAGGAUAAGGUCUGGUAACCAUGCUAGAUCCAAGGUGUUUGGUCAUGGCAAACCAUGUGAGACCCAAACAAACAACAAACAAAGAGGACAAUUAUGCACUUUAGUUGUCGAGAAAGAGAAAAUAAAGAAAAAACACAAACAAUCGAUCACCGACGGCAAUCCAAUCAUUAUAUGUCUACACGUGCCACACCAUAUGAAAAAGGGCGCAACUGCAAAUCCAAUUAGACGACGGAUGACAAAAAUUGGCCACUGAAAAGCGUCUCACGUACCUGUUGAAUGGCGUGGGCGCCACCCAUUCGUUGGGGUGUGUGAAACACAUCCCAGCAACUUUUCAAUUAAAAAAUAAAAAAUAAAACCUGAAAAAUACUAACACGCCCAAAUGGUCGUCUUAAUUACACAAAAUACCUCCAAAGGCAAAGCUUUUUUUUUGUUGUCUUUUCUGAAGCUAAAAGCGUUAUUUUACUGUACAUGAAAAUUGCAAAAACCUGAAAUACCCUUGUCUAGUAGCCCAUUCUUUUUUAAUCUUAAAGGCAAAGAAGUAUUUUUAUUGAGUAUAUUGUGAAAAGCUAAGAAAGCCCUUGGUUAACAGUCCUAAUUUUGUUGACUCUAGGGGUAAAAUAGUAUUUUUAUUGUGUGAAAAAAUUAAAAAAAGAAUCUUCUAAUGACAACUAAGCUAAUUGAAAAGACCCAAACACCCUAAACUGAAGGCUUAAAUUUAAGUCACUAAAAGGUAAAAGUGUAAUUUCACUGUCGUAAUCCACAAUAAUCUGUGUCUAGAGCUAUAGUGAAAUCUCCAUGCCAUUUAGCUUUUUUUAUAAUAAAAGCAAUGGCAUACUUUAAGAAAUAUAAAAACACAUCAUUUUGUUUCAUUUCUUCUGUUUUCAAAAUGUAAUAGCCUUGCAUUAAAAACACCUCAAGUUUAAUACUAACAAUGAAGGGUACAAAAUCCAAUUGUAAUUAAAGAAAUUAAAAAAUUCAAACAAAUAGAACUCUUUUGAACAAGUUUUACUAAGUAUUUAGAUAACACUAGUUGUUCAAUUGCAUUAUAUUAAGGGCUUAAUAUUUUUAUUUUUUUUACAUAAAAAGUUAUUCUUAGGGCUUAAUUUUUUAUUUUUUUUCAUAAGUAGUUGCCCUUGGUUGUGAAGAAAUUGGUUCAAGAUAGAGAGAACUUGAAUUCAAAAAUUGAGAAUUUAAAACUUUAGUUACAAAAGUAAAAAUCUAUUGUCAGUAGCAGAAAAUGAUAUUUCUAUAAUCAUUAAAGAGAGAGGAAAGGCACAACCGAGUAGAGUUUAUAUGGGAGAUGAACUAAAGAAAGUAAAAGAAGAUAUUACAUUACAAAACUAGCAAAUCUAUAAAAGUAUAUAAAACCUUAUAGUCUCUUAAAGAUACAUUGCCUCAUGUAAAGACCAAUUUUUUUUGUUCAUGGAAUAAAGCAAUCAUGUUCUAAACAACAAAAUUAAUUUGAAAAAUGAGCUAAUAAAACUAACAAAAGAAGUUAAGUCUUAGACUAGUAAUCUAGAAUCUGCCUUCUUAAAUAUGAAAAUCAAUAGAGAAUGGAUUGUCAAGGGCGUCAAAUGAUAUUUCUAUGGUAGAAGGUGAAAAGAGGAUUGCUGAACAUAAUAUCUAUAUGCUUAAAUCUAAGUUGAACAUAUGAAUGAAUGAGUUAGCUAAAAUCAGUUGCAACUUAAAAAAAAGAUCUAUAGAGCUUGUGCAUCACAUUAGUGAUCAUCAAAAUUGUUAAUAAAAAUUAAGAGUUAGAUAACAUUUUGGGAAGCAAUAUAAAAGCUUGAAAAAUAUUAAUUUUGUUCUCAGGAACCUAAUUUAUUGACACAAAUCUGGGAAGCAUUGAAAAGUUAUCAUACUAUGAAAGAAGAUUUAUAAACGACAAGACCUAUCCAUAUGACCUUGACAAUGAUGUGAAAAGUGAUAUUGAUAUCGUUCAAGUGAAUGAAACAAAUGUUGAUGACAUUUCCAUGUAUUUUAAGAAAAUUGUUGAAGAAUUUCAGUGAAAAAACAAAAGUCUUAUAAAAGUUUUUUAGGGUUUCUGGAUUUUCAUAGAUGAGUUGAUUGAAACAUUAUCGAGAAAGUUAAGGAAACCAAGAAUGCUAAAAUUUUAUUUUGAGUACAAAGGUCUAUAAAAGAAAAGAUGACUGUAAAAAUAAAAGCACAAGAAAACCAUAGCAAAAUUAGAACAAAAUCAUAAAAGUUUUCUAUAUGUAUGUACCAAUAUCACAAGAGAAUUGCAGUUUAUAGUUAAAACCAAGCUACUAUAGCUAAGCUUUAUUCAUGAGCUUGAAAAGUCGAACUAUAAUUUGAUUCUAAAAAUAAAUUAAGAAGGUGCAUACAUCAUAUAGAAUCAACAAAGGCUUAAUGAUAGAGAAUAUGCUAAGAUAGUGAAAAAAGUAUCAUUAGUUGCAACAAGAGCUCAAACUCUAUUUAAAUAGUUUGAGAGUACAAGUAAUGUGGCAGUUACAAUAACAACAGGCUUGUAAAAUAAAGUACAGAAAGCACGAUAGCUUCAGAAAAAGCCACUGAAGAAAGCUUUGUAGUCUGAAACAUGGUUUAAGAGUUAGAGAUUAAAGAUGAUUUUUACAAAAUUCUUGUAAAAAGUUGAGACUUAAGAUAAUAGGUUACCAGGUUUUAGAUGAAAAGUUUAAAGGCAAGAAAAGUAAAACUGUCAUCUUUACAAGGUAACCUAUUAGUGAAAGAUCAAAAGGCUAAAUAAUCUCAUAUAUGUGUUUCUAAAUAUUUUUUAUUUUAAAAUAUAUUAAAAUACUAUUAAAAUUUAUUUUUAACAUUAACACAUUAACAUAAUUUAAAAACAUAAAUUAAAUAAUUAAUUUUUUUAAUUAUUUUUUAAAAACACUUCUAAACAUAGUUUUAAGACCCGGCCCGAUCUAAGGUCCGGGUUUCGGGUUUUGACCGGGUCAAGGGGUUGGCCGGGUCAGUUCUUUUUUUUAAAUCAAAACGACGUCGUUUUAGUAAAAAAAACAAGUCAACGGGUUUUGCCGGGUCAACCGGGUCGCCGGGCCAGCUGGGUCACACCAAGUUUUUUCUUCAACCCGGCCUGGUUCCAUCCCCGGGUCGGCCGGGUCCCGGGUCGACCCGCCAGGCCGGGUUUAAACAUAAAAUAAAUAAUUAAUUUUUUUAAUUAUUUUUUAAAAACACUUCUAAACAUAGUUUUAAGACCCGGCCCGGUCUAAGGUCUGGGUUUCAGGUUUUGACUGGGUCACGGGGUUGGCCGGGUCAGUUCUUUUUUUUAAAAUCAAAACGACAUCAUUUUAGUAAAAAAAACAAGUCAACGGGUUUGCAAUCGGGUUUUGCUGGAUCGUCGAGUCAGCUGGGUCACACCGGGUUUUUUCUUCCCCUGUUUUUUCUUCAACCCGGCCCGGUUCCAUCCACGGGUCGGCCAGGUCCCGGGUCGACCCGCCGGGCCGGGUUUAAACAUAAAAUAAAUAAUUAAUUUUUUUAAUUAUUUUUUAAAAACACUUCUAAACAUAGUUUUAAGACCCGGCCCGGUCUAAGGUCCGGGUUUCGGGUUGUGACCGGGUCACAGGGUCGGCCGGGUCAGUUCUUUUUUUUUAAAUCAAAACGACGUCGUUUUAGUAAAAAAAACAAAAGUCAACGAGUUUGCAAUCGGGUUUUGCCAGGUCAACCGGGUCGCUGGGUCAGCUGGGUCACACCGAGUUUUUUCUUCCCCGUUUUUCUUUAACCUGACCCGGUUCUAUCCCCGGGUCGGCUGGAUCCCGGGUCGACCCGCCGGGCCGGGAUUCAAAACUAUGCUUCUAAAUCAUAAAAACCACCCAUUUUAUACCUUACCUCGGACUCCACAAUAUUUGGAAAGGUAACACGAAUCCCUGUAUGCUUUGUAGAAAAUGACAUCCAAGUCCCUGAUUAAAUUACUCGGGAUUUAGAUGGAGGCAAUUUGACCCCAACAAAAGCAGAAGCCCUCAGCUACUUCCACAAAACCCUAAUAGCAAACGCCAAUAAAUGGAAUUCGACGAGAUCGAGUAUCUGGAGAAAACCGUAGAGGAAGCGGAAGAUCGAGACGAUUCGAAGAAGAGGAACAGCAGCAGCAGCAGCAAAAAGAGAGAUGGAACCGAGAGAAGUUACAGGAAGCGAGAGGUCGAUGAUGAGGAUGUCGACAACGAUGAGAACCGAAAGGUGAAGAAAUCGAAAGCUGAGGACGAGAAAGGUCGCGAUCACCACCGGAGAGACCGAGAUUUAGAUAGAGAUAGAGAUAGAAGUAGUAGAGAGAAGGAUAGAGACAGAGAGAGAAGUGGCCAUAGGGAGAAAGAGAAGGAGAGAGAGAGGAGAGAGAAAGAGAAGGAGAGGGAAAGGAUAGAGAGGGAGAGAGAGGAGGAGAGAGACCGGAGAGAGCGAAGCAGGAGCCGGUCAAGGAGGCAUGAAAGCGAUUCUCGCGAGAGGGAAAGAGAGAAAGAGAUUGAUACAAGAGAAAGCAGGUGAUAAAUUUUUUAUAUUGUUUCCAGUUUAGAUUUUGGAAUUCAAUGCCAUUACUUCUAAUCAUUCCGUUUUUCCUUUUUAAUAUCUUCAGCUGAAUACAAACAAUGAACUCAUUGUGUAUAUAGUUCCAAGCGUAAUCUCUACUAAAAACUUUGUUCACUCGAAGUGUUAAUUAAUGCUAAAGUCCUUUAGAAAUUGAGUUUAGAAGUUUAUGGGCGAAGCAAAUACCUUCUAACUAGGAUUUGUUUUUGAGUUGGAUUGUUAACUGAUAUUAUUGUCCCCUGCGAACCCAAGGCUAAAUGAUUUCUCUAGGUUUUUGAUGAAGAAAUUGCUGUUUCUUAAAGUAUUUUUAUGAGAUUUCUAUUCUUACCCAUUUGCGUUCCAUUUGAAAAGGGGUGUGAAUUGAAUUAGGGACAUUGUAUAAUAUGAAAAAUGAAAUAGCGUUAAUUUUUUAAUGAAGCUAGAGAUUGGCCGUUGCUAUGUUUUGAAUGAUCUUGUUGUAUGUGUCUAAGUAUACAUUGCUAACUUUGAAAGAGUAAAAUGUUUAAUUGGUGAUUGCACAAAAAUUCGAAACAACAUUUGCUAUCCUUGUUAGAAAUAAUGUGGCAAAAAGGUUGACAGCGGUGUCACUAUUGCUCCUUGUCUAUGAUACCAUACAGUUGGUUAGACAUUUGGAUUUUUCUAACAGCUUAAUACUGGUUCUUUUUUUUCAGUCAUAAGAAUGUCUAUGCCUGUUAAUUAAUCUCAUGAAUUUUCAUCUUUUGUGAAAAUUGAAACUUUAAAAGUGUUUUGGUUGGCAGGAGAUUUAAAGAUAAGAAAGAAGGUGUGGAGCCUGAAGCAGAUCCAGAAAGGGACCAACGAACUGUUUUUGUGUACCAGGUUGAUGGUUUGCACUGCUGUUUUUUUCUCCAUUUUUAAAUGAUUAUUAGUCAUAGAAUCAUAGAUUAUAUGUGGUUCCAUUGUUUUCUCACAUUGGUGUUGCUUUGUUGUUAUGAAUUUUUUGUUUUAUGACAGAUGCCUUUAAAAGUGACAGAGAGAGAUGUUUAUGAAUUCUUCUCAAAAGCGGGCAAGGUUAGUGGCCUUCGGUUUGUUUUUUAUAUUUAUAAUGCAAAAAUAGUUGUAUGUUUCUGGAUUUUAUAAAUUUUGUAUCAAAGCUCAUUGUGGUCUUUCCAGGUUUUGUUAUGAACUUCUCUUUUUAUUUCAACCUGUGCGUGUGAGAAUUAUUAUGAUUUGUUGCAUGAGAAACUGCUGAGGACAUGAAUGUAUGUUACUGAAAUACCGUUGCUUUAUUCUUCCUCAGUUACAAGUAGUGUAAUGACUUUCUUUUGUCUCAUUUUAGAUAUGCGAUAUUAGUUAAAAUGUUCAAAUGCAUUGAGCAAUUUAGCUUGGUAUUAAGAAACAGUGUCAUCCCAUAUGCCGCUGUUUUUUUGGAAAUUCAAACGUGAUGCUCUAGAAUCAUCUUAAUGGCAGAUUCUAUUCUUCUGCAAUGAUAUAUAAUUCAAAAUGGAUGCAGCACUCCCUAUUCAACUUCUUCCUCUUUCAUUCCAACAAUGUCUUCCUCAGUAAUUGGACCCUUGAUAUUUUAGUUACCACUAGUUUACAUGCCCGCCCUCCACUACGUUUCAGAUCUAUUUUUUUUUUUAAACGUAACAAAAAAUACAUCCAGGUUGUAGAGAACUUUUUGAUAUAGUUAUUAAACCCGGCCCAACGGGUGAACUUUAAAACCUCUCAAUUCGAAUCUUUGCCAAACCCGAGUUUAAAAUUAAAUCGUGUGAGUUGCCCCGAUGUGAUACAAUCAACUUGGUCGGUCCAAAGUCGACCUAACUGGCUGGUAAAAAAAUUCUUGAGGAUGAAAUUGUUAGAAAAAAACCUCCUGGCAACUUCUUGCCUAGCUUGGGUUUAAAAUUAAAAUGUGUCGGAUUUGCUUAACGUGACUCGGUCGACUUGCUAAGUCCAAAAACAAUUUGGGUCGACUUGGCCGGCCCAAAGACAACUUGGGCGACCAUUAAAAGAAGUUUGAGGACAAAUUUAGAAAAAAAUGAUGAAAUUGAUAAAAAAACCCUUUUGACUCCACUCCUUGUCUGACUUGAGUUUGAAAUUAAAUUGUGUAAGAGUUGUCCAAUGUGAUCUAUUUGAUUUGGCUGGUUUAAAAACAACCUGGAUGAUUGUUAAAAAAAGUAUGAGGAUGAAAUUGAGAAAAAAAGUUGAAAUUGAAAUAAAAAAGGGAUGGAAAAAUGGGGUGACUGAAUUGAAAAAAAAGAGCUUCUUUGUUGAUAUGAACAAUGAAGCUCCAUAAAGAAUCUCACUUUUUUUAGUAUAAAAGGUAAUGCUUUCUCCAUCAAACACAACACCAACAUCUAUAUUUACCUUGUGGGGUACAAAAGUAGCGUAGACAAGAUUGUUAAUCCUUGUAAUGCAAUGCAUCUUGAUAGGUUUUUUUUAUGUAGUUUGAAGUGUCUGAAAUAUUUUUGCCCACUGCAAAUCCACUCUGUUUUUUACAAUUUGAUUUGAAAUUAAUUUUCCUUGAUUUUUCAGGUGAGGGAUGUUCGAUUGAUAAUGGAUAGAAAUUCAAGGCGGUCAAAAGGAGUUGGGUAUGUGCCUUUUUGUAUGAACAACAAGAUACUUGUGCACUUGUAUUCUUCUAAAGUAACUCUUAGCAUAUUGAUUCCAAGAAUCAACUUUAACUAUAUUCUUAAAUGCACUAGCAAUGCGAUAAUGAUGAGGGAUGAUGGGAAUACAUUGCACUCAUGUUUAAUCAAUUCUUGCAGCGCACUCAAGGUAGAUGACAUAAACCUAAUUUUGUUUUAGUUUUCUGAUUUUCUUUUGCUAAGUGUUCUGUAAGUAAAGAGACUUGAUUACGAGGCAUGGAUAAUUAGUUGUAGUGUUCAAUAUUGGUGCUCCCAUUCUGGUCUAGUGUUGAUCCUUUACAUCAGCAUAGUUUGGUUUUGGCAGCCAUUUUGCUUAAGAACUUAGGGUAACCAGAAUCUGGUUUUCUAAAACCAUCUAAAUUUUUUAUCAAUUGAGCCUUAAAUUGGUUUGAGCAUUGAGUGAGGUUCAUUUGUUUGUGAUUUUUGGGCUUUUCUACACAAAACACGUCAAAAUGGGGAUUGUUGCUAACCUUUUUAAUUGUAUUUAUAUUUGUUCAUUUUGUUUUGGUUUCCUAUUAUUAUUCCGAUGAGCUAACAUAUUCUAUGACAUGAGACAUCUGAUUCAUGGAAAGAAUUCAUUCAGCUUAAGCUAACAUAUUCUUUUCUACUCAUGUUUAAUCCCCUUGUUUUUUUUUUAUUAUUUUGAAUUUCAUCUUUUUUUUCUCUCUCAAUUUCAUCCUCAAACUUUUUUAACAAUCAUCCGGGUUGACUGACCAAGUCAACUGAAUCACAAGAAGUCGGUUCAAGAAGUAUUUUCUAUCAAUGCCUUUUUUUUUCAAUUCUUCAGACUUUUUUUACCGGUUUGCUUGGUUGUCUUCGGACUGACGAAAUUGAUCGGGUCAGGGCAACUCCCACACAAUUUAAUUUUAAACUUGGGUUAGGCAAGAAGUUAGGUCAAUAGUCUUUUAAUGUCAAUUUUAUACUUUUUUUUUUUAUCAAUUUCAUUCUUAGAUUUUCUACCAGUCGGUUAGGAUGCCUUUGAAUCGGCCAAGUUGACUGAGUCACAUCGAUGCAACUCGUUGAACUUUAAACUCGGGUUAUGUAAGGAGUCGGAUUGGGGGAUUUUAAGAUUGUCCCGCUCAGCUAGGUUUAAUAAAAAUGCCAAAUAAUUCUUUACAACCUGGAUAGUUUUUGUUAUGUUCAAAAGAUUUUGAUCCAACCCCACAACGUAACACGGGCAUGUAAACUAAUUUUUCCCUACAUCUCUUUGCUAUACGCUUUGGAAUUUUGAUUUCUUUGUCUCUUAUUUUCUGACAAGUUAAUUUACUGCACUGGUGUAACUGCAGGUAUGUUGAAUUCUAUGAUGCAAUGUCUGUGCCGAUGGCAAUAGCUCUUUCAGGUCAACUCCUUUUUGGGCAACCUGUAAUGGUCAAGCCUUCUGAGGCUGAAAAGAAUCUGGUUCAGUCUAGUGCUUCUAGUGGGGGCACAAGUGGUGUUGCUGGACCAUUUGGACCUGUUGACAGAAAACUAUAUGUUGGAAAUUUGCAUUUUAACAUGACCGAAAUGCAGCUUAGACAGGUAAUAAGAUUGGAGAGUUCAUUUGGUUUAUCAAUCAUUGAGAGAGACUAGUUUACCUUUUGUUUUUGAAACUUUCAAUUUUCUUUCUUAACGAGGAUAAGCUGCAAGUAACAGAAGAAUUAUGUACAGACUAGUUCACCUGUGCUAAAUUGGCAAAGAACUUUAGGAUGCUUGUAGAAGAUCUGUAUGUAUCAGUGUCAGAAGCCUUUGGUCAACAAUUCCUUACUGCAUAGACUUGGACAUUACAGAUUCAUGAACCGUGGGAGGACAUUUUAGCCUUAAUAUUUGAUGUUGCUGAUGGAAGUGUUACUUGUUAUCCUCCCAUGGAUGUUGAAUCAACAGUCAAUGACUCCAGUAGCUUUUAUGGUUUUUUUUGUGUGUAAAUUUUGAUGUGUAAAGGUCUGUGUGAUACCUUAUUAGCUUUGAAGAGACAGAUAGAAGUUUUUAAUAAUAUUUAGAUGAGCAAGUUCCCUUCACUAGUACUUCCAAAUACUAAAACUUUCAUCCUGUUUCUCUUACAUAAUGUCUUGUCUUUCUUCUCUGUAUUACUCUCAGCUUUUUGAACCAUUCGGUACUGUGGAGCUUGUACAACUGCCUCUUGACCUUGAGACAGGACAAUGCAAAGGUUUCGGAUUUGUUCAAGUCGGUGAUAACUUCUUGUUAAUUGCAAAAUUUUUCUGUACUAUUUAAUCUUCUGAAUUUGUUGAUUGAUUAAUUCAUCCACUCUUCUACAGUUCACUCAACUUGAAAAUGCAAAGGCUGCACAAAGUGCUUUGAAUGGAAAAUUGGAGAUUGCUGGUCGAACAAUUAAGGUAUGCCUAACAUACCAGGUUGCUCUUCAUAUGUUGUACAUGCACAAGUGCAUGUUGUUGCCAGGAAACUAUUUGUCUUUGCUGAUUUAGCUGUAAAUGACAAUUGAUAAUGCUAAUCUUAUUCCUUAGGAAAGGUCUGUGAUGAAUUGUUUGUGUACAUAUAGGUUUCAUCUGUUACAGAACAUGGUGGGCAGCAAGAUACUGGAGCAAAAUCUGCAGACUUCGAUGAUGACGAUGGUGGUGGAUUGGUGAGCUAAAUGUUGCCAUUCAUUAAAUGAGUGAACUUGCAUGAUCAGUGGCUGAGCCACUUUAUUUAUUUAUUUGUUUGUUUAUUUAUUUAUUUAUUAUUAUCACUAUUUUUUUAUUGGGAGGGGGAGGGGGGGGGUUCAUAAUCCACCAUAAUUUGUCAAGAAUGACAAUGUACAUUAAUUUUUAUGAAUCCAAAACAAUUUUUGUAAAUCAUACAAUGAAAAAAAAUGUAUUUGAAUAUAUUAGUGUAUAAUCACAUUGCCCAGAAUAAUUUACUACAAGAAGGAAGGAUUCAAAUGAAAAGAGGUGGGGGAAAAAGAGAAACAAGGUUCUGUGAAUGAAGGGAAUAGGAAAAAGACCAAAGGACCUGAUGUGCUGUUUGUUUCACUAAUGGAAUCAUUGAAGAUUUAUAUAGAUCUUCAUUGUUAGAAAUCAUGGCUGGUUUGCUUUGUUAAUUGGCUUCUGUUCCUGAGCUUUAUGUUGAUUGUCCGGGGGGAAUUUUGUUGGCAUGCCACUAGAGGUGAUGAUCUUAUAUUGAAGUAAUUGACUAUUUUUCUCGUGAUACUCUUUGCUAAUGUCUUGUUUAAAUAUUGACACUUUGAGACAAGAAUUUACAAGUUUUACCAAUAUGGAUAGUGUGUCUAUAUAUAUAUAUAUAUAUAUAUAUUUUGAUAAUUGUGUUAUAAAAAUCAGCGACUUAAUUAAUUCAGAUUUUUUGUAUCAAAAGUAACCUCAAAUUUUGUUGUCAAUAAGUAAAUUGAAUUGUCAUCCUUGUCCUGGAAGGACAUUUAAAUAGCUUUUGAGUUCCGCAUGAGUUUGGAAUUCCCACAUCAGUUAGGAAUAAGAAGUAUGAGGUGUUUAUAUAUAAGAUGACCCCAAAUGAGUUAUGAUUAGAGCUGGUAUGAUAUAUGGGAUAGGGCAGUUGCUCUGUCUGUACAGUUAGUUACAUACUAGCAUUGAGAUGAAUCAAAUUUGGUCAAUGUUGUGAGUGGUGGAUGUUGAGAUAGACUGUUAAACUUACCUUACUGAUUUGGAAUGGCUUUGUUACCGCUUAAUGAAUGGCUUUCAUAGGGUUGUGACCCUUGCAAUAAAAAAAUUUAAUUGUUUUCCUUGAAUAUUUCGCAACUCUAUAUCUUGGAUUGUUAGGUUUUCUUAGAUCCACAUGUUCAUUUUUUCAAAAGAAAUUAACUUGUUGGUAACUUUGCUGCUAAUAUUUUCGCAUGAAUGUUAGAUUGAGGUUUUGUCCUUGUCAUUAAUGCAUUUAUGAGCCAGGGGUCAUCUAAUUACAAAAAUUUUGAACAUGUAAUGAGGUGUAGAUUUCUCAUGAAUACAAUGAUGUUUGUUGAUUCAACUUCAAAGUGGAAGUAUUGUUACUUUAGGGUAAAAGUAUUUAAAAUUGUAGAUCAUGCUGACAACAGGCUGGCAACGUUUGACACUGCAACUUUGAAUGUGGAUGAGAGCAUUUCAUUAUAUUCACAAAGAUCUGAGAUAAUUUAUAUCCGAGUCUCUGCUUUUAUUUCCUAUUUUUCUCCCAUAAAAAAAUGUCAAAUGAACUAUCUAGAAAAGUUUAUAACUUCCGAAUUGACAAUGGGAAAACUCAUUACAGCAUCUGGAGACUGUAGUUUUUACUAAGAUUUUGAGACACUAAGGUAAAUGAACAUGCUGCUGCCAAUUUCAAAAUUUUGCAUACUGGGAAAAUUGAUUCUCCAGCAACAAAACUUGAUGAUUUAUUUAUUGAUUAGUUGAGGUUAGAGUUCUUGAUAUUAUUGUUUGAGGGUAUGGGACCAACUUGCAUCAGCAAGAGUGUCAAUAGUUGCACUGUUUCUUUUGCUUACAUUUUUAAUUUCUCCAAUUCAUCUGAUGUAAUGAUUUCACUUUUCCCAUUCAGGCCUUGAAUGCUCAAUCAAGAGCAUUGCUUAUGCAGAAGCUGGAUCGCACUGGUAUUGCUACAAGGUUUGCUUAUCUUACCUUGUGUUUUCUUUUCCCUAUAUAAAUAUCAAUUCCUUGACCUUAAAUCUAGCCCCGUUUCCAGUAUUGCAGGCUCUCUCGGAGUACCUUUGCUAAAUGGUUCAGCUUCGAAUCAACAAGCCAUUAGCUUGCCGAUAAUUGGGCAAACUGCUAUUGGAGCAGCAGCACUUCCAGCACCAGUUUUAUCUUCCCCUGCCUAUGAACCUAUUGGGCAACCCAGCGAGUGUCUAAUGUUAAAGAAUAUGUUUGAUCCAGCCACUGAGGUUGUUUUUUUUUUUUUUUCCUGGUUCUCCAUUGGGAAGUACUGAUUCUCUUGAAAAUGUUGCAGACAGAACCAGAUUUUGAUUUGGACAUUAAAGAGGAUGUAGAAGAAGAAUGUUCAAAGUAUGGUCAGGUGGAACAUAUUUUUGUGGACAAGUAAGUAUAUAGCUCAUGGAACUUUAUCCAUAUAGGUUCUUAUAAGUGCUCUAAUGGAAGAUUAACAACAUAGAUGUUUUAGGAAAAUUAAAUAUUUUAUUUUAUUGCUUUUGUUUUCUGCAAAUCUUGUUAUUUUUGGUUAUUGUGACAUCUAGGAGACUAGAGUUAAUUAGGAGUUUUAUUUUGUUUAGAACCAUGUUCUUUUCACUGCUCUGUUUUAUUGUUCUGUUGGCACUUAUGUAAGGAUAUUAAUAUACCUUUUGAAUGAUUAUUGUCUUAGGCCUGAUUGCUCUUGAUUUCCUGUCAAAAUUCUGGUGACAUGGAAUUGUUAUUGAGAUGUUUUACAUGCUCCCCCACCCGAAUUCUAAUUGCAGGGCACUACAAAUAGAGUGUAGUGCUAAUUCAAAAUCACAACCAAGUGAAGUUUCUGAACUUCACCUUAUCUGAAGCUAUUUUUAAGAAUAAAGAAUGAAUAUGGCCUUUCAAUGGUCUGAUACUGUUGUGUUGUCACAUAUACCCAAUCCAUUAACCCUGUCAAAAUGCCAUCUUUGUGGGCAUUUCUAUUUUAAUGCCAUUUCAAAAGCUGAUGCCACUUUUAAGAGCCAUUACUUGGUGCAAUGCUAAAACUUAUAGGCUUGCAACUACAGGGGUGCUUCUUUGAGUCGGGAUGCCAUUCAUUUUCUUUCUCAACUGUUUUAUUUUACCUGUAGGAAUAGUACUGGUUGUGUUUAUCUACGGUUUGGCAGCAUCGAAGCAGCCGCUGGAGCUCAGCGUGCAAUGCAUAUGAGGUGGUUUGCACGCAGGUUAAUUUUAGCAGUUUUCAUGGUAACAAUUUUCAACUUUCCAUGAUUUUCUUGAUUGUGUCUCCAUGUUCUAGCAAUUCUUUACUCAAGUUGAAUGAUUUUGAAAAUGCGUGAUACUCAGCUGUGUUGUCUUUUCAUCUUUGUCAUCGUGUUCAUGCUGCUUUUAGUUUGCAGCAACAUUUUAUUCCAUUCUCUGAAAGAAUUUAUACUUGUGUGCAGCCGACCCGUGAAUAUGAAGCAAGAUUUCAAAUUGGAGCUUGAAUGAUGGGCGCAGGGAAGGAAUCUCUUGUAACAGUUUUCAGCAUAGUAGUCUCAACAUCCUUCUUUCCUGGGAUGAUAAUUUAUGCAUCCUCGUUUGUAUACGAAGCUCACAAGAUAAUCUCUAAUGAGUUCCCCAGCUGACUGUAUUCUUAAUUUUCUUCUCUGUUUUAGGUUUUGUUUCUUUAGUCCGUUGGUGCAUUGUUGUGUCGGUAUCUUAAGCUUUUGACCCCCACGAAGUAGUAUUAGCUUGAUUUGGAUACUCAUGUUCGCUGGAUGAAAUAAAAUAUACUCGUGUCGGUUGGGCAGGCUUGUUCCAGUUCAGUAUCUCUGGGUUCCACCACCUUGAUUGUUCCAUGAUCUUAGGGUCAGGUAAAUGUGAGAUGUUUGUUUAUUUUUCAUUAAUUAUGGAAAUGUGAAAUGAUUAUUUUGUCAACAUCUCUGCCUUGUGUUUGUAUGAAAAGCUUCUUGAAUGGAGAUGAUGACAGCAGAACAUUUGUUGAUGAUGAUAAACUGUUCGUUCUACAAGUUAUUUAAGCAUACGAAUCCUGUGUGUUGACUUUAAUCCUUCGCCGUGUCGAAUAUGGCAUCGGUUAACACAAUUUGCUGGUAACUGCAUGCAAUUCAUGGGGAAAUCUGUAUUUGUUGGUGAUUGGUAACCCCCAACAAGUAGAGUUGAUGAUGUUUCGUAAUCUUGCCAAGAAAUUUCGACAAGGUAAAUCCUUCUCUGGCUUUGGAAUUCUAAAGUUCAUAAAAAUAAAUGGUUUCAGCUUUGGGAUUCAGAAGUUCAAAUUAUUUUUUUAUUACUUUGGAACAUGUAUAUUUUUUUUAAAAUUAUUAAAAUAAAAUUUAAAAAAAUAUUCAGUUAUGCUAGGAUUUUGAAAGAAGAUUAGAUGAUAAUAUUAACAAUUACUUUUAAAUCUAAGUAUAAUAUCUAUUUUAUUAUUGAUAAUUUUUGUUUAAUCUCAUCUAAUUAAUUAUUCUUUACCUUUUCAUACAGUUGUUUAAAACUUAUUGGGUCAUUCUGUUUUGUUGAAUUUAUUUCUUUUAAUGAAAAUCGGGGCAAAGCGACCAACUAAAUUAAACGAGGAAAAAUAGACCUAACAAGAUUAAGGUACAAGAUCAAAUACAAAGCCCCAGAAGGUCAUCUGGAAUCCAAUUGCUCCUACAUGGAGGAUUCACAGCUAAACUAAAAUUUGCUAACCAAUAUGCUUCUUGAUUUGCCUCGCGGUAAACAAGUUGGACUUUGAUCUCUCACUCACGAUCUAGCAGCUCCUUUGCUUUGACGAUGAGUGAGUAAUUUGCUGCCACCGUAAUAGACACCUGUGUGAUGAGUUGAACCACCAGUUUUAAGUCAGAUUCUAGGAUGACUUUUUGCAAUCCCAACAUCUAAGCCAAUUCGAUACCCGAUACCAUCACACUAGCUCUGCUAUGACCGAAGAACAUUGUCGCAAAUUAAUUGCAAAUUCUUUUAUCCAAUAACCAGAUUCAUCCCGAAUUAAACCCCCUGCCCUGGCCUUGUAUCUAUGCCAACUUCUUGAUGACGUGGGUAAACAAUUCUCAAAUAAAGAUUAUACCUUUUGAAAAAACUAAAAAUUAAGUUUAAUAAGUGUGACACAAUGAAAACAUGUCUCAAGAUACUAAAUAACGCCACAAGGUAAGUUAUACCUUGAUAAGUCAGAUUUGAUCUGUCCUAACAAAGAUAACUUGUUUCAUUACAUAAAACACAAGUUUAUUUCAUAAAUUCCCGACCCCCUGCUUAUUAGCAUACAAAACAUUUAUAUAAUGCUUCAAAUAACCCUAAUGGAUCCCCAUAUGUGGGCUGAUUUGAAUCCAUUUAUAAAAUUGACUGAAAUAAGUAAUAAUAAACCAAAAACUAAAAAAAUAAUAAUAAAAAUAUGAAAUUAAUAUCCUAGACAUGCUAGAAUCAGAUUUGUCACCCCUAAAAAGUCUCAAAUAGGCUAGAAAAUCUAAUUUAAAUGUGAAAUUAAUUCUGAAGUCUUCUUACCUUGUUGUGCUUUGUUUCCUUGUUUUACAUGGACAUUUAAUGAAGAAAAUCUUUCUUUUUUAUAACUGUCAAUUUGGUUUCCUUCCUAAACUAGAAGAAUAAUUAAUUAAUCCUUCCUAACUUAGAAAAUUAAAUCUGUCAGCUCCCCUAGUAUCCUUUGUUGACUAGGAAACUUCCUCAUUUGUUGAUAAAUAUUCUUCUAAAUAAUAAGGAAAAUAAUAAAUGAAAUCUCCUUGAAUUUUAGGAGAAUAUUUUGCUGAUUUAAGUCCUUGUAGAAUUAGAAAAUCAACUCCAAACAAAUCUGAUCCCAACAUCUUAAUUAACCCAAGCUAGUUUUGAAUCUUAUGUGGCUGAAACUCAUAUUUAUUAAUAGGAACCAAAUCAGACUUAAAAUACACUCCAAAUAAACUUUACUUGCUGCCUAAAAAAAUCUCAUGCAUAGCUUGUACUAAUCUAGCUGAAUCAUCUAUAAAAAGAAUUGGACCGAACCUGUCAUCUAUAAAAAUCUCAAUCUAAUUAAAUACAUCUCUAGACAAAAAACCCUUCAUAAAUGUAUUAAUAACUAAUCUUAAACACAUAACCAAAUAAGGAAUUCAUGACUGUACCUUAACUGUAUCAUGGAUUCCCUUUGUUGCAUCCAUCCAUAUUUAAUUUAACCCAUCUUGAGUAAGGAAUUUCCACCCCACUUGGUGGACCUGCUUCUGAAUGCUCCCCUGCACAUGUCCUCACUUUUGUUUUUCCAACUAUCCACAGCUAGGCCUCUAAUGACUGACACAAUACAAUCAGCUGGGAUAUGAUUAUUAUUACCAAAGACACGAGCAUUUCUACUCUUCCAUAUCCCUAUGUACCACAACGCCAAACCGGAUAUGAUGGACCACAGAACCUCAUUAGCUGACACAGAUUUUGAACUAAUGUUCCAGACCAACCAUGGAAGAGAAUCUGCUGCAAAAAACAAAUGACGAUCCAGAUGCUCUUUGCUAGAUGACAAUGAUCCCUUGAUGCAUGCAAAGUAGUUUCCCAGUUCAGGUUGCAAGAAGAACUACACAAUGGAUUGUUUGUCAGAUGCCUUCUUUCCAUGUACAUUCGUCGUCAUUAAACCUCCAUUAGAAAAUAACCCUAAAAAUAUCUUGAUCCGCUCCAUUCCUUUCCACCCCCAUAUCAACUUCCAGACCUGCUCCAAAGAUUGCUCGUGCCUGGUAAAGGAUAGCUAGCCACCUGCAUCGGGAGAAGGUGAGCAAAAAGCCCCCAUCUCCACUUGUUAUCACCUUGCACCAUAUCUGCAACUUUGUAAUGAAGGGAAGCCUCUGGGAUUUCAGCCUCUGCUAGAUUCUUCAAAGGCCCAUAACCAUCUAGCCAUCUAUCAAUAUUCCAAAAACUAAUCUCUCUGCCAUCAUCUGCUGACCAUCCAAUGCCCUCAAUAACUUGUGGCCACUACUUACAAUGGCCUUCCAAAAAGGAGAGUCUCCUCCUCCAGCUUGAACAUCUGGAACCUAUCCUGAGAUUUGAUAUAUUUUCCUCUCAAAACCCUUGCCCAUAAACUUGUCGGUUCCUAAUAAAAAGAAGAAGACAUGUUUUGUUAAGAAAACAUUACAUGAAUAAAAAUCCAACAAAUCCAAUUAAGACAUAACAUAUAUAAUUUUGAAUUUAUUUGAUGUCUAAUAAUCACAUACAACAAAGGGAAUAAUAGGAGAAGAUCGUUGCUUGCAGUUGUGAAAGAACAUUGCAAAAACGUAUAUCGUUAUGGUUCUAGAUUUAUGAAUGGGUGAUCCAGAUCUAUACAUGUCUUGGUUGUUGUUUUUCUUCUCAUGGUAAAUGAUUUUAGUCACGAGGGAUGAGCAUUGCAAGAACACGAGCACGAAUUACAAAUUACUAGAUAAACAAGGACUGAUCACUUCGUGCUUGGAAAAACCUGCAUUUCAAUAUAUUUCAUGCAUGUUCUUACAAAUUACAUCACCACUCAUUUUGUAAUAUUGUUUAUAAAUCAGUCCGAGCAGUGAACCAACAAGAUUGUAUGUCUACGUAUCACUUAAAAUUCAUCUUCGUACCCAGCUGGGACAGUUAAAUGGUGACACAUGUAACCAUCCUACUUUUUAAACGUAGGCGGGUCCAGGGGUAGCUAGGAUCCUGCAUGAUUUGGUUGUGUGUAAAGAAAAAUAUAGAACGAUAUAAAAUUUAUUACGAACAGGAAAAGAAAUGUAAAGAUUUACUACAAAUAUAUAACGAACCUUGUAGGAGGAUAAGAUCAAUACCAAAAUUAAUAUCAUCUUUAUAAUAUAUUUAUUAUUUUUUUAUACAUAUCAAAUAUAUAAACAUACAAAAUUUAUAAAAAAUAUUAGCUAAAACAAAGCAUUGUUUAUUUUAAUUGUGAUCGUCAUUUUUUUAUGGAAUAGAAAUCAUCGAUUAUCAUAUAUAUUGAAAAUCUUUUAACUCCUUUUCUCUCUAAUAUAAACAAUCAAAUAAUCUACAAGAAAAUCAUCCUUCAUCUGAUUGUGAAGUCUUGUUUUAACAAUUUUCAUCGCUGAAAAUUUCGUUUAGUAGUUAUCGACGAAACAUGAAGAGUCAAAAUAAGUUGUCUUCUGGAUUCAUCUCGAGCUUUAUCAAUAAAUAAACAAAAUCUUGCAUUACCAAUCUCAUGACAAAUUGAAGACUGAACAUUUCUAGCAAAGAUAUGUAAAAUUUCUUUUUGAACUUGAUGUGAUGUGUAUUAGCAUUUUGUGGAGUAUUACCCAAAACACGAGCACCUUAUUGUUCAUUUUAUGAUACUAAAAGUUACAUCAUUUUAAAAAAAUUACCCCGGUCUUUUUAUUCUAGCCAUUCAUUAUAUGCUCUAAAAGCACAUGAUUGAAAUGUAGACCACCAAACAAUAUCUAUUGAGGUUUUAAUUUGAUCUCAUAAACACUAUUAAAAUCCUCAAAAACCCAAUAACAUAAUCACUAAUAUUAUUUGUCUUCCUGAUGAAUGAAUGAACAAUAAGAAAUUUUUUUUUCUUGGUUAUGAUCUAUCCACGUGUCGUAUUCUUAUUUAUCAGCGCCUAGUUUUUCCUCUGACUAGACUUCGAUGGAUAAUAACAAUCAAUAGCCAAGCAAUCAACACACCCAACUCUUCGAGUCUUUACUAUUAGCCCCCGCAUUCCACAAAUACCAAAAUCCUACAACUCUCUCUUUACAACAUUUUAGAGAAUCAAAAACCCAAAAGGAAAAAAAGUUUCGGCUUCCUGUUUAUUUCAAUUGAAAUAAAGAGUCUUUAAUUUUUAAAUUAUAUUUAAUAUUUUAUUUUCCCUACUAAUCGUUUUUAUUCUCCCAAUUUCCCUUUUAUAUUUCAAAGAUUCUUAAAAUUCUAACUAGAGGUUUACAUUCACACUCCUUUGACCAUUCUCACUUUGUCUCUUUUCAGGUCAAUCAGGUGAAUAGAGUCUCUAUGGUUGAGAAUCCCUUAAUAAACCUUCUUUAGUACUCUGCCAACCUAAGGAAACUAUGUAUUUCAGAUACAUUUGCAAGCCUUUCACAUUUCAACACUGCUUUGACUUUCUUAGGAUCUAUAACAUGUCCUAGAAAAACCAUUUUUUCAGCCAAAAUUCAUAUUUACUCAAUUUGACAUACAACUGAUGGUCUUUUAAAACCUGUCUUACUUGUCUCAAAUGUUGCUUAUGCCCUAAAUAUGAGCUAGAGUAUAUCAAAAUUUUGUUUACCAACAUGAACUUAUCUAAGUAAGAUUAAAAGAAAUGAUUCAUUAGAUCUAUAAAUACUGCUGGCGUAUUUGUUAAUCCAAAUGGCAUUACGAAGAACUUGUAAUAUCCAUAACGAGUUCUAAAUACGAUUUUUGGCAUAUCCUACUUCUUAAUCCGUAGCUGAUAGUACUCUAAUCGCAGGUUUAUCUUAAAAAAUACCUUAUUUCCUUUGAGUUGGUCAAACAAAUCAUCUAUUCAUACAAACUAAUAUUUCUUCUUCACAAAUAAGACUAGAGCUCAUCAGGGUGAAUUACUUGGGUGUAUAAACCUCUUAUCUAGUAAUUCUUGCAGUUGGAUCUUCGACUCAAUUAACUCUAUUGGUACCAUCCUAUAGGGUAACUAGGCUAUAAAAGAGGUAUCGGGUAAUGUAUCAAUACAGACCUCUACUUCCUUUAGAGGCAAUCCUAAUAACUCUUCCAGAAACACGUCAAAAAAAUUCUCUUACCAUGGAUAGAUUUGACAAUUUGAUAUUUUCCUUAUUUGAAAUCAUCACAUAUGCAAGGUAAGCCUCACAUUCUUUCCUCAUAAUUUUCCUAGCAGUCAUAGCUGAAAUAAUAGAAUUUGGUAUGACAUUUCUUUCCCCUCUAAAUAUUACUCUCCUACCAUUUAAUCCUUGGAGAGACAUUGUUUUUUCAAAACAGUCCAUUUGAGCCCUAUACAUGCCCAACCAAUCCGUACCUAAAAUUACAUCAAAGUCAUAUAAUUCUAAAGGUAUUAGAUCUACCUUCAUCUCACGCCUAUCAAUGUUAACCCUUAUCCCUUUAUAAACACGGUAAAUAUCUAUACUCUCCCCUGAAGGAGUACUAAAUGUGAAUUUGUUUGUGUUUUUUAGGUUUUCCCAUAAUUUUAUUUUAUACAAAUGAGUGUGUUGCACCAGAAUCUAUUAAUGCAUAUACAAAUAUGAAAUUUAACCAUAACAUACCUUCCACUAUAUUAGAAGCAACUCUAACAUCCUUCUUAAUCAUGUGGAACACUCUCCCGUGUCCUAUCCUCGUGUGCUUUAGAUCGUUUCUUGUUACCACUAGCCCCUGAUAGUGUUGGCCUGGUGGGCCUAUCCACAAUGAUCGACUAUUACAAACUCUGUGUUUACUGCCUUUUUCCCUAAACAUACCCAACUCUUCAAGGGCAAUCCUUUUUGAAAUGUCCCUUCCUUCCACAAUAAUAACAUUCACGACCUAAUUGCGGACAAUCCUGCCACUUCUAUCCCUUUUACUUAUAAAUAUAACAUCAAUAUGACAAUACAAAACAGGCUUUUAGAUGCCUUUGCUCUCACCAAACAUAGUGAGGAUAAGUAAUUGUCUUUUGCUCUAAAGCCCCUCCAACAGAACUACCCUUUAGGUCUGAUUGUCUUCCAGUCAACCCUUCACUUGUACUCUAUAAAACCCAGCUGCUUCUCUAACCCGCAUCUUUUGUUUUUUUUGAACUGACUAAAUUGUCCUUAUUUACUCAUCUUAAGAACGGGAAGUCUACUUUAAGAGAAAUCAAUAUCUUUCCUCUUAUCCAAUCCAGAUUGACCUUACUAGUUCUCUCCAAUACAUGCCUCUAGAGCUUGAGCUGCCUCUAUUAGCUCUCUUGCCAUCUUAAAUUGUAAUGCAAGUAGCCCUUGUUUCAAAUCCUAUCGUAAGCCAUCACGUAGUCUCUCAAUCAUAUAUUGUUCAGUAGGAAUAUAAUAUGGGGCAAACAUAGAGAGGUUAUGGAACCUCCUCUCAUAAUCAAGCAUUGACAUGUAAUCAUACCUCAAAGCCAAAAACUUUUGACAUGUAAUCAUACCUCAAAGCCAAAAACUCUUAUUCUUUCACCUUAUAGUGAUAUUUAGAAUAAAACUUAUUCUUAAAUGUACCCUAAAAUCACUUUAUUUCCAUAACUUUGUGGUCCUCAUCGACUAUAUAGUCUCCCAUCAAGAUUGUGCUCUGUCUGAUAAUAGUUGGGUGGUACAGUCUACCUGUAAAUCUUAUAGCACCUUGAUCUAAAUCAAAAUCUUUUCCACUUUCCUAAUUCAUCUCCCAACAAUCUCUAUAUCUUGUUCCUUUAAGAAGGGCUUACAACCCAUUUCUCUCAUACUCUUUACAAUCCAUACUAAGGCAAUCACAUUGUUUGUGGGUGUUGUGACUAUUGGGGCUGAUACGCUAGUUAUACCCUUAAUUGUUGCCCUCAUUAACUUUGUUAGUAAAGUAGGGUCAACAUAUGGUGUGGGGGCUUCUACAAGUGCUACUGGUGGAGGCACAACUGCUUGCCCUUGGUGAUAUGACCUUUCUAGUUUGGGACACACCAAUAUAUUUAGAAACGAUAUCAUCUUGAAGUCUAAAUGAUUCCCUCUACCUCGAUUAAAUAAAUGGUGGUGGCAUAUGAGAGGCAUUAUCCACUAAAGGAUCCUCUCCCCGCCUCUCUUUGGAAUCUAUACCAUGAGAUCUCCUCUAUAUUGGAGAGGGAUUUGUCCUCGUAUCUUGCCUUAUAUGAAUUGUCCUGAAAUAAUUCAACAUAUAUCAAUUUCCAUUACAAAUACUAAACCUAAUCUAGGGCUCUGAUACCAACAAUAACGACCCCAUUUAAUACUCAGAUUUUUAGUGCGAUUAACAUUUUAAUUUGAGUAUAAAGCCAGGGAACUUUUUUUAAAUCUACCCAAAUUCAAUAGUGUUUCCCCUAAAAAUAUUAAUACCAAGUUAUUGACAACACAAAAAAUAGAUCUUUACACUAAUUUGUUUUAAAGAGUCCAAUCAUCCUAGACUUAAUCAUUUCAUCAUAUCACUGGAUUAGAACACAUCUAAUCCCAAUUUGAAUCACUUCAAAUCUUGUAAAACAAUUUUCAAGAAUAAUAAUCAAAUGAAAUGAAUACAAAAAUUCAUAGAGAAACAUUAUAAAAUAAAUUCAUGCAUUUUUAAUUCUAAUAUGCGAAAUUGAAUUCAUAAUGUUAUAAUAACCCAAUAAAACAAUAUAUCAACAACAUUAUAAAUAUCAUAAAUUUAAGCAUUAAUUACAUACCAAAAUUACAUUGCAAAAGAAUUUCAAUUCAAAAUUUCAAUUUCAUUACUUAAACAAAAGAGUUUCUAAACAUCUAUUUACUCUACACGAGGUUGCGAUGUACCUAAAAUUGAUGUAAUGCAUGGUGUAAAUAAAACCACAUAAUAAAACACACAAAACAACAAGUCAACUUUAAUAAUAUGUCAUAAUCUUAAUUAAUCUUUUCAAGUAAUUUUAUAAUCCUGUUAAACCAUCUUGUCAGGUCAUAUUUUCUGGUGAUCAAACAAAUUGACGCCACUAGCCUAUUACCAGGUAACUAGUUUCCUUAUCCAUUACCAGGUACUAGCCCUAUUACUGAGUAACUAGUUUCACCACCCAUUACCAAGCACUAACCACAUUACUUGAUAACUAGUUCCGCUUGCCUAUUACUAGGCACUAGCUCCGUUAUCGAGUAACUAGUUCUGCUUUUCCAUUACCGGGCACUAACCUCAUAUACGGAUAACUAAUUCCAAAUAUAUUACAAUUAUAAUAACAACAUACCAUAUUUAAAAAAAUUAUAGCUACCUGACUAAAUAAAUUGCUAAAUAAAAGUGUCAAGCACCUACCUGAUAUCUAAACUCUAGAUGCACUACCUUGUGGUUGCACUACUAUCGCAACCUUUCAUGUGUCAACAACAAUUUUAAAUAUUAUACUCUAUCCAUUCAUUACUGGAAACCUCUUUCCAAAUUCAAGUUUUAUGUAUAUUCAUUUCCAUUCAUAAUUUCACUAUAGUUUAUACUUAAAUUACAAUUCUCAUAAGCAUUUAACUCAACCAUUACAAAUUUCAUUUUGUUUUAUCUUGCUUGAAUAAUACACAUGAGGAGGAAAUGUGCGUUUUCUUCAAUUUCCUGAAAUCAAUUCUUUACUACAUAACUUUUGUAUAAAGAAACGGAUUUUUUUUUAUUGAAAUAACAUAUUUCUCAAUAUAUAUUUCCCUUGAAUCACAUAUUUAGCUAAAGUUUUACACUAAUUAAACCAACCAACGAUCCUUUUUAUUUUUCUCACUAAGGCUAAUUCCAUCAUCGAAGAGUAGGCAUAUAUUUUAUUAUUUUCUUAAAAUUUAUCAUUACCUCUUCACUAAACCUUCUUUUAAAUACAAUCUAACAUAGUUUCUAGCCAAAUAAAUUACUUCAUUCAAGUCCUUUCUUUUUUCUAAUAUGGUCGAAUAUGGUAUUAAGAAAACUCAUACCAAUUUUAUUUUAUUUUUCUUUCAUUUGGAACUUUACCCAUACGUUAACCCUUACUUAAAACACAAUUAAGUAUAAUCCAACUCUCAAUUCAAUAAAAAAUCCUAUUCUCUUAAACAAAUUGCUAGGCUGAAUAUUCCAUUAGAAAAAAGGAUCAACUUUUUCUUAUUAAUUGUUUCAAUUCACACAAUACUCAUUAUAUUUUCAUGUUAAAGAACAUCCAAAUAUAUAAAAAAAACAACAAAACAAAGCAUUCAAUCUCACGAACCCAUUUUCCAUAACUCAAUACAAUACAAUUAAGCUUAAAAAUCAUAAACCAUUAUGAAUGAUUUCAUUAGAGAAGUUUCUUACCUCUUACAUUUAAGAAUUUGGAAGGAUAAAAGAAAUGAAAAUAAGUUUCCUUGACUUCUUCUUUUUCUCCACUAAACCUGUAACUUUCAAGUCCUUUAACCCCAAGAAGUUUUUGAAUUUCUAGCUCCAGUCAUUCCUAAACCUCUGUUUGAUUCAUUAAUCUAAUUCUCUUUAGUGAUUUUAGAUGAUAAAAUCCAAGAAAAAUCAAGCAUUCAACCUUUUUUUUCUUCUCUCCUUUGUUAGUUAGCCAUGACCCCUCAAUAGAAUACUAUUCUUUUAUUUAUAGGUACAAAUUUCUCUUUAUUACAUCAAUGAGUCAAAUUUCUAUAAUUACACAUUGAGCCUCAUGAUUCUUUCUUGUUUUUAUUUCCCCCUAAUAACCCUUUUUAAAUCACUUUUAAAUCCUUCUAUUUCUAAAAGAAAUUUUAUUUUGGUUUAUUCCUCUCUAUUUUAUCAUUAUCAUUAUUAUUUUUAUUUAACCCCUUUUCAUUCGGGUCAAUUUAUACUCUUUUUAAUUUUAAAAUAUAUUCUUAAUCCUGUUUACCGAUUUAAUUUGUUAUAUCUCCUAAUCAAAUUUCUAGUGUUCCACUAAUUUGAAAGAUUUCUAAGAGAGGGUUUACAACUUUACCCUCUCCUUGUUAAUUCAAAAAUCUUUUAUUUUAAAUUUAAUUCAUUUAUCACUAGUAAUUUUAUAUGGAGGUUUACAUGUUUACAUUCAAUAAAUAUCACUUCUUUGGUGUUUCACAUAAAUUUUCAGCCUUUUACUCUAAUAUGCUUACAUUUUUUUUUACCACUCAAUUCUCAGUACCUUAGGUACUUUUUUAAGGAACUAGUUCACAACAAAUCAAAUAUUAAUAUCUUAAUACUGUAAUCAAAUAAUGUAAAGACUCAAGAAGUAUAAAGAUUGAAAACUAUAAAUACAAAAAUACGAGUAUCAAUAUGAAUUUGUGUGAAAUAUGAACGAUACAAAGACUCGAAAAAAAAACUACAAAAAAAAAAUAAUGAAAUAAGAUUUAAAUGACUCAAAAUAACAAUAUCACCUUUACUUUUUUUAUAUGUAUAUGUGGUCCAAACUAAAAAAAUAAAAAUAAAAAAGGAAGAAGAAGAAGAAGACAAUGAUGCAAAAUCUAUUUUUUUUUAAAAAAAACUCAACCAAGCAAACCUAAAGUAUCAAGAAUCAAGAUUUAUCUAUAAAAAACCCUCAAGAAUCAAGAUUUUUUUAGAUUUAAAAUAAAUAGCUGAACUAUAUGUUUUUUUGAAUCGGGAUUUACAACAAACCCUAAAAAUUUCUUAUCUAUUUUUUUUUAUAUGACUUUAUUUAAUCAAGACGAGGUGAGACUGAGUUCUAAACAAGGACGCCCGGUCUAUGACGGUAUUCGGCUAGUGGCACUCGAGAAUCAAGCUACGAGAGGAUUCAAAAUAGGUUUGAGAACAUCAAUGGUCGACAAUGGCAUUGGGUAAGGGAUAAAAUCGCACUCUCCAACUUCAAAUAAUUUAAGCAUCACUCCCGAUUAUUGCCCAACCAAACAAGUUCUCUACUUUUUUUUUUUAUUUAAAAAAACCCAGAAAAUAGUUAUAAAAUAAACAAAACAGAAAAUUAACAUAUAUGACAUCAAAAGGACUCCAUCAAAUUGCGUUCCUCUUGCCUUUUCUGCUAUGAUGCAAGGCGGAAACUUAAUUAGUGUUUCAUCUAUAUAUAUAUAUAUAUAUAUAUAUAUAUAUAUAUAUAUAUAUAUAUAUAUAUUUGCUUUAAAAUAUUUACAUGUAUAAUAAAAAAGGAAAAAGGGAAAAUGAAAGAAUUUUUAUUUUCUUACGAAGAUAAAAGAAUGUCAAUGUAUAUUAAGAUUGAUUUAUUUAAACCUGUCUUAAUCAUCACCCACUAACUAAUUUUAUUAUUCUUGUUACAUCCUCCAAAGAAAGAAAUUUUAUGAGUCAUGCACACACUAUCACAGUACAAACAUAUCUAUAAUUAAAUCAUGACCACAUAUAAUUUAAAUGUCACGUGUCAAACUAGAACCAUCCACCGCGGAUUGUUUCGCCAUCCUAUCCUUUCACAUGUAAACCUUUGAAUUUAUCUCGCGUGUAUGAUAAAUCAUACAUAAAUUAGUUUUAUAUGAUCUGGUCAAUUUGACAAAUUUAAAUACAAACUAGAUGAUUAAUAAAAAUAUAGUUUAAUUUAAUAAAUUUUAAGAUAUUUUUUUAAAAAUAUAUUAAAACAAAAACAUCUUAAAUCAACUUAGACCAACCAAAUCUAUAAUCCAGAUCAUAAGACCGUGACAACCAUAUAUAAAAUAAAUCAAAACAAAUUAUAAAACUCAAUUUUAUCAAUCCAAUGUCUAGUGAUGACAUUGAAAAACAAAAUCAACUAAAACAAGAAAAAAAUAUCCCGAGUCAACCCGAUUAACUCAUGUAAAAAAAACAAUAUUAAAAACUUCAAAAAAAAAAACAAUUCUUGAAUAAAAAAGUUUUGAAAUUUUGUUUUAAAUUUAUUGUAAACAAAAAGUAAGUUUUCAUAUCUCGUUUGAAAAAAUGAUAUUAUAAACCUCUUAUGUUGACGUUGCAACAAAAACACAGAGUCUAUCAUUUGCUAUGUUAUCACUCUGUGCACCCUUCCUAGUGCCACCCUUUGUUCUGUACUAUAUGUUAUCAUUUGAAAACUUGAAAGUUAAAUUAGUAACAAAAUAUAAUUUCUUUUAGCCCAUUUUCCUUAUUAAUUCAAUAUCUAAGUCUAAAAGCUUAAUAACUUUUGUUUUUCCCAUCUACAUCCAACAUGGAAACUAAUAUUUCUAAGUUUUCUUGUGUCGUAAGAAUCCGAGAUUUAUGAAAAAAAAUUAAUUUUCUGAGCUAUGAAAUUGCAUCAUAAUUGUAUGAAUUAAAUGUAGAGUUGUGGAAAAGGGAUUGUAUAACAAGUUUAAAAUUUGUUAGGAGUAUUCUAACAAAAAUAGUACUGGAAGACACAAUGGGUAGUGGCAACGCGUGGAACAAUGUCAAAAUUAGCAGCGUUGAUAGGAUUGACAACAUCGAUAGAAUCAACAGCAGAGACUGACAAUAAGUUUAGACGAUGGAUAGUCUAAGGCUUGAUGAAAAAACACUACUGACAUGAAUGACAACAUGCAUAGGCGAUGACAAUGUGCAUGGACAUUGGCAUAUUCGAUAACAGUGUACAUUUGACGAUAUGCAAGGAGAUGAGUUGAUGUUUAACAUGAAUUCUUACAUGGAAAGCGAACAGUCCAAAACAUGCUGAGACAUAGUAGGACCGAUGAUAGUUGGGCAGUUGGUUUAUGGGAGGCAAGCCAAGAGAGUUAAAAAAGUUUGGGACAAUUAGUUGCAGUUACAAUAGUUUCUUAAUGGCCAGGACAUGUGGAUAAAUGUCUUAAUCCAUGUAGGAACUUAAGAACUAUUUUCUUGGUAACUUCCAUUAUGUUGUAAUAUAUGUAGGCUAUAAAUAUUACAAUGUGGCAUGCAAGGAAGAGAUUAUGCAUAACACACACCAAAAGACUUUUGUAUUUCCUUUGUUAUUGGUUUUAAUAAAGGUUGGGUGUUGUUCCUGUAAUUACUUGUGCUUGGCUUUCUACAUCUUGUGUCCUUUCUACUUAUACGUUCUGCUUGUCUUAUAAUAGGGGAAAGUGUGGUGAAAACCUUAUAAUGAGGGGGAAACACUUAGUUGGAAGGCAAAUGUGAGUGAAUUAAUAGAGGGUAAGGCUGAGUCUGACAGGGCCAGGCUAUUGCAUAAGGCUAAAACUUGGACGAGGUUUUAACCACGUGACAAUUGGUAUCAGAGCAUGGGAUGUUCUGGAAACAUCAAAGAUAAUUUUGUAGAAAAGAUGAAAGAUUUUGCUGUGAAGCUACUAUGAGUUAGUUUGUGAAACUUGUGGCUUAACUUCAUAUGCUAAAAGCUAUGAAAGUAAUUUGGGAAAGGAUGAUGCGUCUUGAGGACUUAAUGGGUUUGAUUCCUGAACAUGAAGAUCAUUCAGUUAAUGAAAGGCUGGAGUUAGCUAUAAAAAUUACCGAGAAGGUUGCUAGAUAAUAUGUUGAACUCAUUAUUGAAUCAAAACGCAAGUGACAGGUUGUAGAGGAAAAGAUGUCUAUCUUGAGGAAGGCAGUCGUAGACACUACUAAGGGUAGUGGCACUUUCAAGCUUAAAGUUCCAGAACCUAAACCAUUAAGGGAUGCAAGAAGUUAUAAAGAGUUGAAGAAUUUCUUGUGAGAUAUGAAACAUUUCUUCAAUGUGGCCAAAAUUAAACUGGAUGGUUAAGUGGACAUCACAAUGAUGUAUUUAUUGGGCAACACAAAAUUAUGAUGGCAGAAAAGGUCCAAGGAGGACUUGAAUGCUGGGUGACCCAAAGUGGAUACACGAGAGAGUCUGAAAUAUAAAUUGAAUGAACAAUUUCUACCCCACAACAAGUCCUGGAUUGUGAGGGAAGAAUUGAAAAAGUUGAGGCAUGAAGGUCUAAAAAGGAUUAUGUAAAGACAUUUAUUUUCUUGAUUCUGGAUAUUAACAAUAUGUUAGAGGAAGUCAGGCUGUAUAAAUAUUUAUGUAGUGACUAGUGAGGGGAAUGCUAGGGCUUCUGGAUAUUUUUCAAAGCCUAAGUAUAGGGAUGAGAUGAAAACGAAGAAGAGAUUCGAUGAGAAAGAACCUAGGUAGGCUACUGACAAGGGAAAGUCAGAAUUGAAGGCCAUAGAUAACAGUUUAAGACCAAAUUUAUGCUGUUUUAUUUGUGAUGAUAAUUAUUUUGCUAGGGAUUUCCUAAAAAGAAAAAAACUGAAUGCUAUCUCAGUGUAGGAAGGUGUUUGAGGAUUCUAUAUACGUUAAUCCCAUGUGUGUGCUAGACGAUUGAGUUGAAAAUUCAAUUGUGAUGAGCCAGCCUAGUGGUGGAGGAAGUGACUUGGCCAUUCUGCUUUGGGUGUGGUAAAGUUAGGGUUGUUUUGUGCAAUUUGAUGAAGAGAUAAAUUAAGGGUAAUAGAAGUAUGCAAAGAUUAAAAAAGUCUUUGGGAGUCCCAAGGAUCCCGUUAUACAGAUCUAAAGUUGUUUAGGAUUAUGCAAAGAUUACUUGAAGAUCUAAUUUUUUUUUUUUGCUUUGAAUAUAUGCUUCAAGGCUAGGUUAUCGCAAACCACAACCCAUCCAAUUUUCUAGUCUCUAACGGUGAUCCACAUGAACUACCAGUGACAAAUCUCCUAGACCCUUUUAGGAGAGAGAGAUUUCUAUAUCUUAAAGUGCUAGCUCUUUUUUUUUGUGCUUAGUUGGUUUUGUAUUGUACUCUUCUCAUCUUAAGAACUCUUUUUACCUUAAGAACCUUUAGGAAAUAAGAUGCAUAACAUUCUAUUUUUAGGGAAACCUAAAAACUCUAUAAAUGAAAAAAUAUCAAUUUGCCCCUUAAAUAACAUCACAUAUAUUAUUUUAGUCUAAUUUUAGAAAUUUAUUCAAUCAAUUCCCUACUUGAUUUUUCUACGUCUAGCAUUUUAUAUCCUUGUAUAAUUUACACUCUAGUUCUCAAUUUCUAAAACUUAUUACAAUCAAGUCAUAUUUGAUUAAUCAUUCUAUUUUAAUUUAUGACUAAUGGUUCUUAUGUGUGUGACCCGUUAGGUUCCUUAAUAAGUUGACCCAAAUAUAAAUCAUAAUCCUAAAUAAAAUAUAAUUAAAUAAAUUAAAUAAAUUAAUUUAUUAUGAAUUCAAUAAUUGAUUAAUUUAUAUUUAAAAAUCGAGAUUAAUGGGAUUGGUCUCGAUGCUUUGAGUUUGACUCAAAGAUGUUUUGAUCCUGUUGGAAACAAGUAGGACCCUAUAGAAGACUUAGUCACAACUUGGUUCGAAAACAGGUUGACUAUGGAAAUAUCAAUUUUAUUGGCAUUAUAGGAUAAAUGAAUAGUGUUCUGGAUGUGAAUAAGAGCAAAGCCGAGAGGUUAUGUGUGUGGGACACAAAUUUGUGAUAGUGGACAAACUUAGUGCAUGGGUAUUUCAUGUCUGACUGAAGAGGAAGUCAGGUUCUUCUAGUAUGGGAGGUUUGUAAUGGGAUUAAAAUUCAUCAAUGGCACGCUAACAAAAAUAGUAUCAGAACGACAUAUUUGGCAAUGGCAACCUGUGGGACAAUGUUAAAAUCAGCAGCGUCAAUGAAAUUGACAACGUCGAUAGAAUUGACAGUUGGGGUUGAUUAUGAAUCUGGAUGAUGGAUUGUUCAAUGUUUGAUGAAAAAACUACUGGCACGAAUGGCAACAUGCAUAGGCAAUGGAAACGUGCAUGGUUAGUGGUAGCUUCAACAGGAGUGCAUCUCUAACGAUUCUACACGAAAUGAUUUGAUGUUCAACAUAAAUUUUGACUUGGACAAUGAACAAUCCAAGGCAUGCCAAGACACAAUAGGACUGAUAGAUGGGUGUUGAUAGUUGUAACAUUGGUUUGUGGGAGGCAAGCCAUGGGAGCUACAAUAGUUUGAGAUAGUUAAUGAUGGUUUUUGCCUGUUUCUUGUUAUUAAUAUUAAUAAAAAUUAAGGGCUUGUCCUAUAAUUACUUGAGCUUGACUUAUACAUCUUGUAUCUUUUGCGUUACGUUUAUUUUACAAUAAAGACAAGAAUGGGGAAUACCUUCCAAUGAGGGAGGAAUAUUUAGUUGUCGGAUAAAAUCGAGUGGAUGAACGACUAAGUUAAGGCUGGGUUGCUACAUGGAGCUGAAACUUGGAUGAGAUUUUAACCCUGUGACAGAUAGCGUGGUAUCUUUUCCAUAUCUGUUGCGUGACGGAGACGAUCCAAAAUAGCAUAUAUAUUCGAUUGUUUUGCGGGAGCGUAUGCAUCGACCCUAUUGAAUAAUUAAGCGGUCGAAUCCGACCACGAAAGGGAGAGUUUGUGUCUUAUUAGCAGAAGACAAACCUAAGGGGAAGUUGAAAAGAGCUUUUCAUAGGCCCUCUUUUAAAUACCAGCAAAGCAAAGCAAAACAGUGUCAAAACACCGAAACCAAAACAAAACAAAAUAAACAAAUACCUUGUGACUCUUCCCAUAUUCAUUGCAUGGGUCCCCUCUUUAUCAUGCCUUUAUCUCACUCUUCUCCUGGCCCCUCCCUUCAUUUUUAGAGAGAUGUGGGAGAGGGAAUUACUGGUGGGGUGGUGAUUAAAAGCACAGUCCGAAAGAAAUGGCUCGAGAGGACAAGCACUUCCCAUCUUUCUCAACCACCCAUUUUGGUCAUCUUCCUUCUAUGACCAAAAUACUCUUUUCAAGCGGAGGCAUCUCACAGACAAUACUUUGUAGAUCAAGGGUCAUUUUAGAGCAUAUGCAUUCCCUUUAUGAAAGGGUUGAUGAACACUACUCCAAUGUAAACCCUCUCUUCCUCUCUCUGUGCAACAACAACAUUCCUUCAUAGAAUAGAAAAAAAGGCAGACAAGAUGGAGCCAGGCAAUUGCAGCUGUAGUUCUGUACUUAAUUUCAGUUUCUCUCAGGUGUUAGUACUUCCUUUCUGGUAUAGUAUCUUGUAACUCUGGGAGAGACUGGCAAUAAGAAAGUAUAUAGGAGCAAGCAAGAAGUGUCAUCCAUCAUCGACCUUCAAUCAAGCUUUAUAUAUAUUUAUUCAUGGAUCACAGAGCUAGCAUGCAUAUAUGUGAGGAUUCUGAAUAUCAUGUAUGUACGUGAAUUAAUUGUGGCUUUAAUUUCGAUUCUUUUCUAUUAUUAUGUUAAAUGGAUCUUGACGAUGAUGAUUCAUGUUUUUCCCAUCAUUUUUCAAUAGAUUGACAUGUUAAAAAAAAAACUUUACUCUAUAUAACAGAUCUCUCUCUCUCACUUUCCAAAUUUGUAUACUUGAUCAUUACUAUCGAUUAAUACAGUUAUCGGUUAAUUCUUUUGUGAUUCAUCAUGAGAUUGCACUUUGGCUUUUAGUUACUCUGUGCGCAAUUAAUUGGCUAUGUGGAAUUUGCUCCUUCCAACCUUUCAAAUUAAAAUUAUUUCUACUAAAACCAAAACUUUAAUUUUUUUUGUUUUUUUUGGUAUAUACAUAGCGAGUCACGAACACGAGACCUUAGGAGUGGUAGGAUAUAUAUGUCCAUUGGCAAGCUUCGUGAAGUUUUCACUAUCAUGUAAACUAUGAUAGAUUUUUUUUUCCUUGCUAUUUGUUCUUUUUUUAAAGUGUUUGAAAAUAUAGUAAUGGUUGUUUUUUAAAAUAUUUUUUG
rnacentral:lncRNA from 1 species